GAUGAACGCUAGCGGGAGGCUUAACACAUGCAAGUCGAGGGGCAGCACGAUGUAGCAAUACGUUGGUGGCGACCGGCGCACGGGUGAGUAACACGUAUGUAACCUACCCUGUACAGGGGGAUAACCCGGAGAAAUUCGGACUAAAUACUCCAUGGAGAUAUACUGGGGCAUCCUGGUAUAUUUAAAGCUUCGGUGGUACGGGAUGGGCAUGCGGAACAUUAGCUAGUUGGCAGGGUAACGGCCUACCAAGGCUACGAUGUUUAGGGGACCUGAGAGGGUGAUCCCCCACACUGGUACUGAGACACGGACCAGACUCCUACGGGAGGCAGCAGUGAGGAAUAUUGGUCAAUGGGCGGAAGCCUGAACCAGCCAUCCCGCGUGCAGGAAGACGGCCCUAUGGGUUGUAAACUGCUUUUCCAGGGGGAGAAACUUUCCGAUGCAUCGGGAUUUGACGGUACCUGGGAAUAAGCAUCGGCUAACUCCGUGCCAGCAGCCGCGGUAAUCA
rnacentral:rRNA from 1 species